AUGCUGUGCUGGCUGUUUGCACACCCACCCCCCUCCGAGACUCCUCAUCUCUGCAGUGGAAGCAAGGGACCAAUUCCCCCAUCUGGCCGCUGGAGAGACUGGCCUUCCAGAAUCCUCCGGAAUUGGAACGCUGUCACCCAGCUUGCAAACAGCAAAGCAGUGCCAGAUCUGUUUCCUUGGAGUGUGGGGGUGGGGGCUUACUUUGCCCACAAUCCCCAAAGCCCCUCUCAAAGGGUUUCUAAUAUGACCAGGGAUGCAAGACCCCAACAGGACACAGACAAGCAGCCGUCACCCUGGGCUGUUACAGACCCGGAUUUCCCUGAUUCAGGGAGCUGUGCCCACGUGGAAGGCGGGGGCGGGGGAGACAUGGGUUAAAUAAGAACAGGAAGGAAAUAGUGCCAGGGCACCACCUCUGCUGCCAUCUUUGCUUUGUGGAUGGGUUACCUGGUGGGCACUGCUCCCACCUCAACCAUCACCUUGGCUUGAGCUUAGCUGGGCCCCUGCUGGCUUCUGGGGCUCUGGAAAGGAGCUGACCACCAAGUAUCCUCUUCCCAGGAGAGGCUGUGAGUCUGGGGUCCUAGGGGUUUACCCACCAGUGCCACUGAUCCCACCAGGACCCACCUGAUGCACGCCACGGCCAGACGUAUCGGUGGCCCCUUGCUCCAGAGAUGUGGCCUUGACCUCUCUGCUUGCAGCUUGCACAGGGUUGCUCUGAGACCCAGAGCUGUCAAUGCUGUGGGAUGCAACAGAGUCUCCUGGGGGAGCUGUUUCAACUCCCAGGUUCCCACAUCUGCUUGGGCCCAUGGCUGUAGUUCACGGCCCACUGUGGUCCAUUUUCUCUCUGCUACAAAGCAGUGCAUGGUGUGUCUCCGUGUUUGUGGGAACCAGCACCCCAAAGCUUCCUCUUGCUUCCAUCAACCCCUGCCUCAAAUUUCAAGAUCCUCAUUGGACUCACAGCCUUAGGGAAAUACUCAGGGCCGCCAGGCGUGGGUAGAAGUUCUGGUUAUUGCUGCACCAUGGGUUUCUUGGGAUCCUUUGAACAAGCCAUUUGCUGGAGACCCAACACCCUCACUUCCUUUGGGAGAACUAUUGUCCCUUUCUUCGUAGGAUUUCGUGAAUGAGAAAUCCAUCACCACCCAUUCAAACUACAAUGGGGGGACAUGUGACCCAAAUCUAGCCAAUCAACAUGUGUCCCAUCCCCUCUCAAUGGUGAUUGGUCCAGGGGGUGGGCAUGUAACAAAUAAGAGCCAAUCACCACACCUCUUGCAGCCUGAGAAAGCCACUCUGCUUAUUGGUGCGUAUGUUUUUUUUUAAAUUUUUUUAAUUUUUUGACAGGUAGAGUGGACAGUGUGAGAGAGAGACAGAGAGAAAGGUC
rnacentral:lncRNA from 1 species